ensembl:lncRNA
AGAGAAUACAGUGGAACUAGAAGCUCAGAAUGAGAUGGUCAUCAGAGAGAGAGAGAGAAUACAGUGGAACUAGAAGCUCAGAAUGAGAUGGUCAUCAGAGAGAGAGAGAGAAUGCAGUGGAACUAGAAGCUCAGAAUGAGAUGGUCAUCAGAGAGAGAGAGAGAAUACAGUGGAACUAGAAGCUCAGAAUGAGAUGGUCAUCGCUCUGACUGGAAUAUUUGUUCAUGUCAUCUUGAUCAAGGACAGAUUAGCUUUGGGUCUGUAUGAGGCGCUGUCCUGCAGUCAAUUACCAAAAGCCUCAUGGGUGGAAUGUUAUUCAUGUUUUUCAUAAUUUCAUAAACAUUUUUUUUUUACUUAAUGAAAAUCUGGUGUUUCUAUGUCAAACAGUUGUUUGUUAUAUUUUAGUCUUCUGUAAUGUAUAAACUACAUUGCUGCCUGCUAUAUGAUGAGGGAGAUGAGAGAGAUGUGGGUUGGCAGACCACUACAUUGCUGCCUGCUAUAUGAUGAGGGAGAUGAGAGAGAUGUGGGUUGGCAGACCACUACAUUGCUGCCUGCUAUAUGAUGAGAGAGAUGAGAGAGCUGUGGGUUGGCAGACCACUACAUUGCUGCCUGCUAUAUGAUGAGAGAGAUGAGAGAGCUGUGGGUUGGCAGACCACUACAUUGCUGCCUGCUAUAUGAUGAGAGAGAUGUGGGUUGGCAGACCACUACAUUGCUGCCUGCUAUAUGAUGAGGGAGAUGUGGGUUGGCAGACCACUACAUUGCUGCCUGCUAUAUGAUGAGAGAGAUGUGGGUUGGCAGACCACUACAUUGCUGCCUGCUAUAUGAUGAGGGAGAUGUGGGUUGGCAGACCACUACAUUGCUGCCUGCUAUAUGAUGAGAGAGAUGUGGGUUGGUAGACCACUACAUUGCUGCCUGCUAUAUGAUGAGAGAGAUGAGAGAUCUGUGGGUUGGUAGACCACUACAUUGCUGCCUGCUAUAUGAUGAGGGAGAUGAGAGAGCUGUGGGUUGGCAGACCACUACAUUGCUGCCUGCUAUAUGAUGAGAGAGCUGUGGGUUGGCAG